AAGUCGUAACAAGGUUUCCGUAGGUGAACCUCUGGAAGGAUCAUUACAAAUAAACAAGGUAGGUGAAGGUGGGGGUCCUUGAGUCUGUAAGGUGGUAGAGCGAACAUCCGGCUGCCUCCCGAAAUGUCUUACAUGUCCCCCCACAGCCUGAAGGCCGAAUUACAACCCUUGAUUAUCUACACUUGUUGCUUUGGGGUGCUCAAGUGCCCCAGAGGACCCAACUCUCUUGCAUUUAGUGACGUCUGAGUACUAUAUAAUAUUUAAAA
rnacentral:misc_RNA from 1 species